rnacentral:rRNA from 1 species
UACGUAGGAGGCAAGCGUUGUCCGGAUUUACUGGGCGUAAAGAGCGCGCAGGCGGCAUGGCAAGUACGGAGUGAAAUCUCCCUGCUCAACGGGGAGGGUGCUUUGUAGACUGCCAAGCUCGAGGACGGUAGAGGGGGGUAGAAUUGCUGGUGUAGCGGUGAAAUGCGUAGAGAUCAGCAGGAAUACCCGUGGCGAAGGCGGCCCCUGGCCGAACCUGACGCUGAG